rnacentral:rRNA from 1 species
UACCCGCUGAACUUAAGCAAU